UACAGAGGCCCCGAGCGUUGUUCGGAAUUACUGGGCGUAAAGGGAAUGUAGGUGGUGAUGUAAGUCAGAUGUGAAAUCCCCGGGCUUAACCCGGGAACUGCAUUUGAUACUGCUUCACUCGAGUGCGGAAGAGGAGAGCGGAAUUCCCAGUGUAGGAGUGAAAUCCGUAGAUAUUGGGAGGAAUACCGAUGGCGAAGGCAGCUCUCUGGUCCGUAACUGACACUGAGAUUCGAAAGCGUGGGUAGCAAACAGG
rnacentral:rRNA from 1 species